CACCACCACACCUCCACCUACAUCCACUUCUCCUCCAUCACUGUCCUCCACUGCUCUCUCUGUGUUGUCAUUUCUCAAAUCGAUCUGUGGGUUCUUACUGGUGUUACUGGUUCUGUUAGGGAGACCAUGUGUUCACAGAAAACCUGAAGCUGAUGGGGGAGACGUUGGAAAUGACAUCACGUACACUGACAGAAAAUCUCAAGUCAUCAACAACAGCCAAUCAGAGGAAGCAGAGAGAGUGAUCCAGCUGUUGUCCACUCAGCCCUGAGAACUGAAGACAUCAUUUAUGGAUAAACAGCUGUCUGACCAAACAGGUACAGCUGCUCUUUAUUCAUUAAAAGCAGAAUAUUUCUUUUUAUUUUCCACAUUUAGUAAAAACAGUAAAUAAAUAUCUGAAGUCUUUAGAGACCUGCAGCAAGCUUUCUUCUCCACACUGAAUCAGGUCCUAGCUCACUAUGCUAGUAAAUAACAGUUUGAAGUAAAUCAUCAACAGCUCAGUGAGAGGAAACUGAAACUAAAAAUGCACCUUUAAAGAAAUCCAAGGUGAACAAGAUGAUCCCUUAAAAAUGUCAAAUCAUUGAUAAGAUGUUAUGAAUUAUAACUGUUACAUAUUACAGUAGUGCUUUACUGU